rnacentral:rRNA from 1 species
CCUACGGGCGGCAGCAGUGGGGAAUAUUGGACAAUGGGGGGAACCCUGAUCCAGCCAUGCCGCGUGUGAAGAAGGCCCUCGGGUUGUAAAGCACUUUCAGUGAGAAAGAACGCCUGGUGGUUAAUACCCAUCAGGAAAGACAUCACUCACAGAAGAAGCACCGGCUAACUCCGUGCCAGCAGCCGCGGUAAUACGGAGGGUGCGAGCGUUAAUCGGAAUUACUGGGCGUAAAGCGCGCGUAGGUGGCUUGAUAAGCCGGUUGUGAAAGCCCCGGGCUCAACCUGGGAACGGCAUCCGGAACUGUCAAGCUAGAGUGCAGGAGAGGAAGGUAGAAUUCCCGGUGUAGCGGUGAAAUGCGUAGAGAUCGGGAGGAAUACCAGUGGCGAAGGCGGCCUUCUGGACUGACACUGACACUGAGGUGCGAAAGCGUGGGUAGCAAACAGGAUUAGAUACCCCGGUAGUC